ensembl:lncRNA
CGGCACACUGCACCGCACAAUCGCAUGCUCCAGAGCUGACAAGAUGAUUGCCAGUGUUCGGCACUUUCUAUUUUUAUCCUCGUGGCGCUGUUUCCUCUCUUACAAUCAUUUUAUGAUUGCGGGCGGGAAUAAAACAUGCUCUGAAACUCGCGUUUGUCCCUCUCUCUGACACCUUUAACCUGGACAACUUAUUAAAAUAGGCGUUGGUGUCGUGAGCAAGCCGUCCUUGAGAGCGUCAAGCUUAUGAGAAGUGCGAGAGAGGAGGAGGAUGAGGAGAGAGAAUCAGAAGAUUAUGGAUUGAUACAAAUAGUCGCCCGCGCCAACCGAAGCCAGAGUUGAAUUAAUGUGUUACUAUUUUUGGAACUCCUGUGUUUCCAGGGGAAACCUAAUGACGCAAUGACGUCAAUGCAGGUCAACGCCAGACUGGAGGAAUUGAGCGCUUCCAUUAGAUUUUGCAGUAUUUUCCAGAAUAGCGGAUAGGAUAAAAUGGAUUAGUUUGAAUGUCUGAAUAAUCAAAAUAUAGUGCUUAUUUAAAAUGAUAACGACACCGCAGAAAAAACACCGAGACGCGGGAUGUUUUCUUUUAAGUUCAUGAAGAGAAUCUGGGGGGAAAAACAGCUCUCCAUCCAGAGGUUUGCCAAACGGGAACACCAGAUCCAGAUAACAGUACAGGUCAUUAGGGAUCUCAACACUGCUUACCACACUAACAGGAACACCUUUAGUUCCAGCACAUGCACCCCCCACUUUGAAGCUUGUUACAGUAAAAGCCUAACAUCAAAUACAUGUAAUACACUCAUUAUGAACAGUAGUCCAUGUGUAUACACUGUGCUCUAUGUCAUAUUGAAAACGAAAUCUUUAUUCAUACGUAUUUUUCUUUUUCUUUGUUUUUACAGAGAUUGAACAGACGCCCAAGGUACAGGGUGGAGAUCAUGGUCCUUUUUGGGUCUUUUUGCGGUCUGGGCUUGCUGUUCCUUGAAGCAGUAGCCAGGAAGCCCUUACCCCAAAAAGUAUCUGCAAGGGACAUUCACAUCUGAUAGGCCAGGCUGGACAUUCACAUCUGAUAGGCCAGGCUGGACAUUAACAUCUGAUAGGCCAGGCUGGACAUUAACAUCUGAUAGGCCAGGCUGGACAUUUGAUCCAGAAUGUUCUCUGUCUCUCUUUCUUUAUAGCUCUUCCUCUGUGACAUGCACACACACACACACAUACACAGACACAUGCACAGUAGCCUGAAAUAAAAAGCUUGCAAUGUGACUACUAAACUGAUGUCUUUUCAUAGUUGACCUUGGGGUAAUCGAAGGGCUUCCUACUGAGUGACUGCUGUUCUUUUAGAAUCCUUUAAGUGAGAAAUCUGUCAUGGAGACUCUUAACAGAAAUGAUACAAGUCUAGUUCCUACUUAAGUGUAUGAGCAGUAAGAUUACCACAGUCUAGAGAUGAAAGCAUUCACCCCUCUCAAUCCCUGUCCAAUUGGACCUGGAACUGACCGAAUCAGAUGUGUACUUUGAUCGUACAAACAUGUGACGCCCCUCUGUCUUAAGUGUUUUCUGUUUUUUACUGAACGCAGAUAUGAACAAAGAAGUGAAGUCCAUUCAACCAAACAAUGCACGUUAGUAAUCUACACCAAAGUAUCAAUAUACUGUAGUUUUAUAUCAUAAUAUUGCAGGUUGUGCCUCGUUGAAAUAGCUUUUCUGUUCCAAAAGCAGUGUACUCCAUUUAGAUGAACAAAAAUAAAGUUCCUUAAAGCUUCUGCGAGAGACAUUGGCAGUUCUAGUUUCCGUCUACCCAGCAUAGCCACUCAGUUCAGUCAGGGACUAGGCACUAGGACAUGUGUGUUUCCUGAAGGCCUCUAUAACCAUGUUUGAUUCAAUGACAUGCCUCUACCUUAAACUAAUCGGAGGCUUAAAGCUCCUCAGCCUGAAGCACCAGUCAAAAGCUGCUCUCGUCCACUUCUAUUACAAGUUCUGACAUUAGGGACACAACACUUCCCACUGAGACGUUUUAGAAACAUGUAAACAGGGUAGAUCUAAGAGCUAUUUGGCUGUCAUAAAAUUAAAAUGACAUGGGCAAAUUCAACUAAUUCGACUAAUCUAUUUUUCUGUUAUGUAGGAUUUUUUAUUCACCAGCAUGAAUUCUCUGGCUAGGAAGCUUUAGCUAGGCUAUAAACCACUCAUCUGAUUUCAGAAUCAGAAUCAGAAAGGUUUUAUUGGCCAAGUAAGUUUGCACAAACAAGGAAUUUGACUUGGUGAAGUAAAGUGGCUCUCAAUGUGCUUACACAGUGAUCUGUAGCGUCUACCAGAGGGGAGGAGUUUGAAUAGUUUGUGUCCGGGGUGUGAGGGGUCUGCAGUGAUUUUUCCUGCCCGUUUCCUGACUCUGAAGGUGUACAGGUCUUGGAUGGUGGGCAGGUUGGCACCGAUGAUCUUUUCAAAUGUCACCUGUAGCAUCACAUUCCAUUCUUGUAAUCUUUGCCUUAGUCUGGAUUCAGCCCUACCCAACUCCAGGGCUGCACUGACGCUGUCAGCUGGGACCUGGCCUCGCUCCAGCCUCAGAGAUGGGACCAGAGACAUGCUGAGGCUUCCCCUAGCCUCCAGGGUUUCACCCAAUUUUAGAAAAGCACCUGACAUAAGAAAUGUGUCCACCAGUAUGUCAAAUAUAUAUACAGAGAUGAUCAUCUGGGCAGAACAAGUGGAG